rnacentral:rRNA from 1 species
AACACUCCUUUCCAUUCCGAACAGGAAAGUUAAGCUCUACAGCGCCGAUGGUACUGCAUGGGAGACUGUGUGGGAGAGUAGGACGUUGCCAGGU